CUGCUUGCUAUGUACAAUUAUUCAGUCCACUAUAUAAGAGUCAAGUCAAUAAAUCAUUUCAUCCACUAGAAUAUUCCUGCAAUUCUUAGACAAAACAUUUUUUCAAUCUGUUCUUCAACGAUCUUCCUCCGUACAUCUUUAUUGGAUGGAGCGAUUCAAAUCAGAAGACAAAGCAAGUUUAUUUGGACAACAAUAUACUAAUAUUUUGUU
rnacentral:lncRNA from 1 species